UACGGGGGGGGCAAGCGUUGUUCGGAAUUACUGGGCGUAAAGGGCUCGUAGGCGGCCAACUAAGUCAGACGUGAAAUCCCCAGGCUCAACCUGGGAACUGCGUCUGAUACUGGAUGGCUUGAAUCCGGGAGAGGGAUGCAGAAUUCCAGGUGUAGCGGUGAAAUGCGUAGAUAUCUGGAGGAACAUCGGUGGCGAAGGCGGCAUCCUGGACCGGUAUUGACGCUGAGGCGCGAAAGCCAGGGGAGCAAACGGG
rnacentral:rRNA from 1 species